ensembl:lncRNA
GAGAAAGACAUCAGGUAACACAAAAUGGAAGUAAAUGGAAUGGAACACCUGUUGUAAAUGGAAGUUAAUGCCAAUUAUAUGUAAUAAUAUGCCAAUCAUUUUGGGAUGUUCACCAGAAACCAUUGACAUAUCUUACAUUUUGUUGUAUCACUGAUGCAAGAUAAGGCGAGUGUACACUCACUGAGCUGUUUAUCUUCACUGGUGACCUCCACUUGAAUGAGGACUGAGGCCUUAUGGUGGUAGAAAGAGGCGUGGCAGGUGUAGAGGCCCGCAUCCUGGUCCGUGACCUUUGAUUGGAACAACAGAGCUCCGCCAUCCAUCUGGACCAAUGAGCCAUCAUUUCUUCAACACGCAGCAGGACACAGAAGUAUCUGGGGACAUGGACUGUCCUCCUCUCCUUAAGUCCAUGGUGAUUUUGAAAGAGGCAAGUCAGGUCCUGUCCCUCGUGGAGGGCCAGUGGGAACUCAUAGUAUCCCUCUUCUCUCUGGCCUUUCAAGACCCAGCUGAUCCACCACACAGGUGACAUUCUGACCAGAGAACUUGGAAGUGGGGAGCCUCAACACACUACAGACCGUCACAGAGCCAUUGGCAUGGUGCUCAGGCUGCCCCUGAUCCUGCAAGCGAAACAUAUGUAGACUGACUGGUACUAUUGUCACUGUCCCUGUCUCCAAGACUCCAGGAGAUAGUGGCAGCAGGUCCAACACUGUCCACAGUGCACUGCACCAGUGUGUAUGCUACAUCUUCCUCCCACUCAGAGCUGGACUGGAUGGUGAUGUUAGGAGGAGCUGCAUGUAGAUAGAACAGCGAUAUAG